UCCGUAGGUGAACCUGCGGAAGGAUCAUUAAAGAAUCGCCCCGUUUUUUGAAAUGGGUUCUAUUCCCAAACCGUGUAUACAUACCUUUGUUGCUUUGGCAGGCCGCCUUCUAGGCGUCGGCUCCGGCUGACUGCGCCUGUCAGAGGACCCAAACUCUUUUGUUUAGUGAUGUCUGAGUAUUAUAUAAUAGUUAAAACUUUCAACAACGGAUCUCUUGGUUCUGGCAUCGAUGAAGAACGCAGCGAAAUGCGAUAAGUAAUGUGAAUUGCAGAAUUCAGUGAAUCAUCGAAUCUUUGAACGCACAUUGCGCCCCUUGGUAUUCCGAGGGGCAUGCCUGUUCGAGCGUCAUUAUAACCACUCAAGCCUCGGCUUGGUCUUGGGGUUCGCGGUUUCGCGGCCCUUAAAAUCAGUGGCGGUGCCGUCUGGCUCUAAGCGUAGUAAUUCUCUCGCUAUAGGGUCCAGGUGACCAUUUGCCAUAACCCCCCAUUCUUUACGGUUGACCUCGGAUCAGGUAGGGAUACCCGCUGAACUUAAGCAUAUCAAUAAGCGGAGGAA
rnacentral:rRNA from 1 species